rnacentral:rRNA from 1 species
CACCGCGGUUAUACGAGCGGGCCCGAGCUGACAGCACUCGGCGUAAAGGGUGGUUAGUAGCAUUUUUACUAAAGCUAAACAUCUUCAGAGCAGUUAUAAGCUCAUGAGGACAGGAGGCCCCUCUACGAAAGUGGCUUUAAAAUUUAUGAGCCCACGAAAGCUAGGAAA